AACGAACGCUGGCGGCAUGCCUAACACAUGCAAGUCGAACGAGACCUUCGGGUCUAGUGGCGCACGGGUGCGUCACGCGUGGGAACCUGCCCUUAGGUUCGGCAUAACUCCCCGACAGGGGUGCUAAUACCGGAUAAUGUCUUCGGCCCAAAGAUUUAUCGCCUUUGGAUGGGCCCGCGUUGGAUUAGCUAGUUGGUAAGGUAAAAGCCUACCAAGGCGACGAUCCAUAGCUGAUCUGAGAGGGUGAUCGGCCACACUGGAACUGAGACCCGGCCCAGACUGAGACGGGAGGCAGCAGUAGGGAGUAUUCCGCAAUGGGAGAAAGGCUGACGGAGAAACGCCGCGUGAGUGAUGAAGGUCUUAGGAUAGUAAAAAUAUGUUAUUAGGGAAGAACAAAUGUGUAAGGAACUAUGCACGUCGUGAAGGUACCUAAUAAGAAAGCAACGGCUAACUACGUG
rnacentral:rRNA from 1 species